GUGAAACUGCGAAUGGCUCAUUAAAUCAGUUAUAGUUUAUUUGAUGCUAUAGGCUUUCGGGCCACUACAUGGAUAUCUGUAGUAACAUAGAGCUAAUACAUGCAACAUAGUCUAACUUUUUGGAAAGACUAGCACUUAUUAGAUAUUAAACCAAUAUUCCGCAAGGGAUUUUUAAGGUGAUUCAUAGUAACUGAACAAAUCACAUGGUCUCGUACCGGUGAUGUUUCAUUCAAAUUUCUGCCCUAUCAACUAGAUGGUAGUAUAUAGGACUACCAUGGUUGUAACGGGUAACGGAGGAUCAGGGUUCGAUUCCGGAGAAGGAGCAUGAGAAACGGCUACUAUUUCUAAGGAAAGCAGCAGGCGCGCAAAUUAUUCAAUGGAAACAAUUUUCCGAAAUAGUGACAAAAAAUAACAAUACUGGGCACUAUGUGUCUAGUAAUUGGAAUGAGUACAAUUUAAAACCCUUAACAAGUAACAAUUAGAGGGCAAGUCUGGUGCCAGCAGCCGCGGUAAUUCCAGCUCUAAUAGCGUAUAUUAAUAUUGUUGCAGUUAAAAAGCUCGUAGUUGAAUUUUGAAACGUGAUAGUAUUGGUUUACCUUUUGGUGAACUAUAUUAUCUGUUUCUUCCUACUAGAAUUCGAUUCUGUUCUUAAUUGAAUGGAGUAGCUAUCUUUCGGGGUAGUCGGUUGGUUGUUAUGUCUCCACUAAUGAGUAGAGAGGAGUAAAAUCUUUGAAGCAAGUUUUGUGGAUCAAGGUAUGAUGAUUAAUUGGAGUUCUAGUUCGUUUACUUUGAGAAAAUUAGAGUGUUUAAAGCAGCCUCUUGGGGCUCUAAAUACAUUAGCAUGGGAUAAUAGAAUAGGAUCUUUAUAAUAUAUUCGUUGGUUUAAAUUAGUUAAAGAUAAUGAUUAAUAGGGACAGUUGGGGGUAUUCAUAUUGGGUGGUUAGCGGGUGAAAUGCUCGGAUCCAUUCAAGAUGAACUAAAGCGAAAGCAUUUACCAAGGAUGUUUUCAUUAAUCAAGAACGAAAGUUAAGGGAUCGAAGACGAUUAGAUACCGUCGUAGUCUUAACUAUAAACUAUGCCGACCAGGGAUAUGAGUUGCUACGAAUGUACGCAAGUACAUUCAAUUUCUUCUUAUGGACCUUGUGAGAAAUCAUAAGUGUUUGGGUUCUGGGGGGAGUAUGGUCGCAAGGCUGAAACUUAAAGGAAUUGACGGAGGGGCGCCACCAGGAGUGGAGCGUGCGGCUUAAUUUGACUCAACACGGGAAAACUUACCAGGUCCAGACAUUAGAAGGAUUGACAGAUUGAUAGCUCUUUCAUGAUUUAAUGGGUGGUGGUGCAUGGCCGUUCUUAGUUGGUGGAGUGAUUUGUCUGGUUAAUUCCGAUAACGAACGAGACCUUUACCAUACUAACUAGUUACAUGUAAUCUUCUGAUUACAUGGGUGAACUUCUUAGAGGGACUAUUGGUUUACAAACCAAAGGAAGUAAAGGCGAUAACAGGUCUGUGAUGCCCUUAGAUGUUCUGGGCUGCACGCGCGCUACAAUGAUAAGAUCAACAAGUUAUUUUACGAUUUGCUUCACUGGAAGGUGUGGCUAAUCUUCAACUCUUAUCGUGCUUGGGAUAGAUGAUUGCAAUUAUUCAUCUCAAACCAGGAAUUCCUAGUAAUCAUAACUCAUCAGGUUGUGAUGAUUACGUCCCUGCCCCUUGUACACACCGCCCGUCGCUGCUACCGAUUGGAUGAUCCGGUGAAAUCCUCGGACUGUUGAAGAUUAUCUAAUCGCAAGGUUAGAUGCUUUGAUGGGAAGUUGAUUAAACCUUAUCAUCUAGAG
rnacentral:rRNA from 1 species